UAGCUCAGAUGGUAAGAGCAUGGCGCUUGCAACUCCAGGGUUGUGGGUUCGAUUCCCAU
rnacentral:tRNA from 1 species